ensembl:snRNA U2 U2 spliceosomal RNA
AUCACUUCUCAGCCUUUUGGCUAAGAUCAAGUGUAAUAAUCUGUUCUUAUCAUUUAAUAUCUGAUAACAUCCUCAAUCUGAGAACAAUACAUUAAAUGGAGCUUGCUCUGACCACUCCACACAUCAACCUGGUAUUGCAGUAUUUCCCUCCAGGGGAGAUAAAACUUGG